GAUGAACGCUGGCGGCGUGCCUAAUACAUGCAAGUCGAGCGAACGGACGAGAAGCUUGCUUCUCUGAUGUUAGCGGCGGACGGGUGAGUAACACGUGGAUAACCUACCUAUAAGACUGGGAUAACUUCGGGAAACCGGAGCUAAUACCGGAUAAUAUUUUGAACCGCAUGGUUCAAAAGUGAAAGUCGGUCUUUCUGUCACUUAUAGAUGGAUCCGCGCUGCAUUAGCUAGUUGGUAAGGUAACGGCUUACCAAGGCAACGAUGCAUAGCCGACCUGAGAGGGUGAUCGGCCACACUGGAACUGAGACACGGUCCAGACUCCUACGGGAGGCAGCAGUAGGGAAUCUUCCGCAAUGGGCGAGAGCCUGACGGAGCAACGCCGCGUGAGUGAUGAAGGUCUUCGGAUCGUAAAACUCUGUUAUUAGGGAAGAACAUAUGUGUAAGUAACUGUGCACAUCUUGACGGUACCUAGUCAGAAAGCCACGGCUAACUACGUG
rnacentral:rRNA from 1 species